rnacentral:rRNA from 1 species
GGAUGAAUAUUGGUCAAUGGACGCAAGUCUGAACCAGCCAAGUCGCGUGCAGGAAUAAGGCCCUAUGGGUCGCAGACUGCUUUUGCAUGAGAAUAAAAAGUGGGACGUGUCCCACCCUGUAGGUAUCAUGCGAAUAAGCAUCGGCUAACUCCGUGCCAGCAGCCGCGGUAAUACGGAGGAUGCAAGCGUUAUCCGGAUUCAUUGGGUUUAAAGGGUGCGUAGGCGGCUUGGUAAGUCAGCGGUGAAAUUCCAGUGCUCAACAUUGGCCGUGCCGUUGAUACUGCUGGGCUUGAAUGCGGAUGCCGUGGGAGGAAUGUGUGGUGUAGCGGUGAAAUGCAUAGAUAUCACACAGAACACCGAUUGCGAAGGCAUCUCACGAAUCCGCAAUUGACGCUGAGGCACGAAAGUGUGGGAUCAAAC